CAAGUUAAGCAAUUGUGGUACAUUGACAGACCUUACCCUGCUUCAGCCCAUUGAGUUUUAGGCACUGGUGCUGGUUUUAUCAUGAGGGUGAGAGUCUUCCUACCAACUCAAAAUGGGGAAGAGGAAGGAAGACUCUGUUCCCCAGCAGGGAGAAACUCCAGGUUCUGGAAACAACAUCACGUAGGACUUUUGGAAAAGACUAUUGUGGAUAUGAAAAUAUUAAGUUUAAAGGACUUCAUGUUUUGUAGUAUAAAGAGCAGUUCUGAGCCUGCAGAAACUUAGGAGCUGAGUGAUGGAGAUGCGAAACAAGAGAUGAAGCCAUACAUGGUGGUAUGCAAGGGGCAGGGUGAUGAGAGAGGAAGAGAGGCUGACCAUUAGCUGUGUCUUACAGGUACAUCUGGGCUUGUUCCCUUCUGAAGAGGGUGACUAGGGUUUCUCUGAUUCCUUUGAUUCCAAUUUGCCAAAAUGAGAAGUGCUCUGCCCUCCCCGCAGUAGAAAAACCACCACAGCUGUUUCUCAGUGGAUUCCCAGCCAAGUUGAAGAGGUCACUGACCCAGCCAUGAUGUAACACCAAAAACCACAAACAGUGACACCCCCAAGCAGUCAUUCUUUGCCAUAGAAAUGCAGUUGUCCACUUCUGCUUGAAAGACUGAAAAGACUUUGAAAGAGCACAGUGAUAUUCUACUAUUUCUGGUGGCAGAGAGAAGGCAAGCCCACAGAC
ensembl:lncRNA